GGCAAGGGGGGGAGGGUAUUGUUAGCUUGCCGGACAGUGAGGUGGCAGCCACGGCUGAUGUUGGUGGUCCUGGUCAAGUUUUGUUUUACAGGUUAACGCAGGAAAGGAAUGGACCCGCUGGCGGAGGAGACGGUAGGAAGGUCAUUGUGAAGUCUUGACUACCCAUCAGAAUUAAAAUCCCCUUGAUGUACUGUCGUCAGCUGUCUCACGGUUGAAUAACUUUAAAUUAACGUAACCAAGCCAAGUACAGGUUGGCAAAGCAGACUCGUGAAACUUUGAUCACCCAUCAGAGAAAGUGAAAGUUUCUAGGAUUCUGAUUGAGUCGGCUGAAGUGAAGCACCAGGCUGAAUUGCUGUGUCUAGUUUACUUUUAAUGUCGAUCAGUGUAAGGAAUUCAAGGGUUGAGGAAUGUUGGAAUUGAAACUCGUGCUAUUGAUGAAAAGGCUGUUUUUCACUGCUUCCUCAGUUAAAGUAAAUACUGUUGAGUGAUAAUUAGAGAACUGAGAAGAGUAACUUGAUACAACAGUAAUUAUUGUAAGUUUAAUUGUGAAUUUUGUUGGGUAAUAGAGGAACUAGUCUGAUAGGUUAGGUGAAUUAAUGGGAUUGUUGGCACAAUGGUUUCGCCCCAUGUCGGGGUGUGAACUUGGAACCAAGAUGUAGAGAUUUUUUCAGUGUAAAUUGAGGCAGUGGUAUUCAGCUUAGAAUGAAAAAGAUGUCAAGUAGGUUAGUCUUCUCAGGUAGAAGAAAGUUAUUUGUAGGCAUAUGAAGAGGUGAGGGCCAUGUCGUAGAUGAAUAUACACAUUAAAUAGGGAUAACGCUAAACUUGAUUAAAUUUAAGUGGCGGGUGAUUAAAAAAUCAAUCCAAAAAUUAUAUUGUU